AAUGAACGCUGGCGGCAGGCCUAACACAUGCAAGUCGAACGGACCCUUCGGGAUUAGUGGCGGACGGGUGAGUAACGCGUGGGAGCAUACCCAAAGGUACGGAAUAGCCUCGGGAAACUGGGGGUAAUACCGUAUGUGCUCGAAAGAGGAAAGAUUUAUCGCCUUUGGAUUGGCCCGCGUUGGAUUAGGUAGUUGGUGGGGUAAUGGCCUACCAAGCCGACGAUCCAUAGCUGGUUUGAGAGGAUGAUCAGCCACACUGGGACUGAGACACGGCCCAGACUCCUACGGGAGGCAGCAGUGGGGAAUCUUAGACAAUGGGGGAAACCCUGAUCUAGCCAUGCCGCGUGAUCGAUGAAGGCCUUAGGGUUGUAAAGAUCUUUCAGGUGGGAAGAUAAUGACUGUACCACCAGAAGAAGCCCCGGCUAACUCCGUGCCAGCCGCCGCGGUAA
rnacentral:rRNA from 1 species